UACGUAGGGUGCAAGCGUUGUUCGGAUUCAUUGGGCGUAAAGGGUGCGUAGGUGGCGGGGUAAGUCAGGUGUGAAAUUUCGGAGCUUAACUCCGAAACUGCAUUUGAUACUGCCUUGCUUGAGGACUGGAGAGGAGACUGGAAUUCACGGUGUAGCAGUGAAAUGCGUAGAUAUCGUGAGGAAGACCAGUGGCGAAGGCGGGUCUCUGGACAGUUCCUGACACUGAGGCACGAAGGCCAGGGGAGCAAACGGG
rnacentral:rRNA from 1 species